rnacentral:pre_miRNA from 1 species
GGCGUGUGUGUACAGUUAGAUCGGGAUGGUCACGUGUUCUGCAUGGGAGCAUGGAAACUCACUUGGGCUUGAUACUGCCCAUACUUUCU